rnacentral:rRNA from 5 species
ACAACUUUCAACAACGGAUCUCUUGGCUCUCGCAUCGAUGAAGAACGCAGCGAAAUGCGAUACGUAAUGUGAAUUGCAGAAUUCAGUGAAUCAUCGAAUCUUUGAACGCACCUUGCGCCCCUUGGCAUUCCGAGGGGCACACCCGUUUGAGUGUCGUG